UCUCAUUACAGGGCAUUAGGAGAAACAGGCAAAUAUACAGCUAUUAAAAUUAAUCGCCUUGCGCCGUCAGAUGAACAUAAUAGAAAUUAUUUAUAGGCUGCCUACAAUGCGUUUAUCGUCAUGGAGGCUAGAGGUGCUGGGUGCGGGUGAGCAGAGAAAAAUAUGCGCAGGCUACAAUAAAGGACAGCUGUACGGAUCUGCGCUAGAUCUUAAGGGAGCGCUGGAAAGUAAUGAGACCAGAGAGACUAGCAGGAGCCCUUGUGGGAGAUACCUCAGCUCGGUUAGUGACAAAGGACUUAGCUUGUACUGGCUACAAGUCCAACUUUAAGCUUAGAGUCCAAACACUGCAGGUCAGCAAAGGUUGUGAGUAUGUGACCUCAACCGGUUAGGCGAAGAGUAAACUGCAGACAUUUUUCAGAUGACUAUACGUAGAGCUACAUAAGCAAAUAUAAAACCUAGGCUUUGUGCUAAGUGGUCUCAAAUAUCCACUCUAGUGGAUUUCUCUAGCAGGCAAAGUCCCGGCUUGCUGGUGUGCAGCAAUGCAGAAACUAGGAGACUUUAAGCAUCUAAGAAACAAAUUACGUCUUAAAAUAGCUAGGAGAAAGGCCGCAGAUUUUGCUGACGUUCUAACGUCCUUUAUAAAUAACAGUGACUGUCACGGAGGGGACGCAGGAGUGGUCGGAAGAAGAGAACUGGUUCAGAGGGACUUCGGCCUAUACAGACAGCCAGCUGCCCACACACAGUACACAAAGGUGAUGACCAGCUGAGAAAAAAAUGGACCCCCCUUUCUGAACAGCCCCCCAGUAAUUAACACGGAAGUGAUUCGGAGCUCUGUACUAGUCUGCUCGGCCCUUACGCGGCUGUGCAGCGUGGACACACCCCGGAGAGCCGACACCGUCUGGAACUGCUGCGUCCAAGGCCGGGACCGGGCAGAUUAACAGCAGCUCCCGCGCCUGGAGCUCCCUCCCUUCUCCCGCAGGCGCCAGCAGCGAUCCGGAGGGGCAGGAGGCGGAGCCAUAGCGCUAGGCACCGGCGCGCAGGGUAGCGAACUGCUCCUCGUUAACGUAGCCCCGGCGCUAAGCGCGAUGCCUUUGCGCUCCUGGGAGCUCGGGGAGGGCUAGCGCCGGAUGCGCCCCCUGGGGCUGGGCGGCUCCACACCGCCCCCAGCGCAAGGCUGUGACUGCGGAGCACAAGCCGGCCCCGGCCGUUUGCGAGCUGGCGCCCUUCCGCGGCAGUAACGAUGCCGAGCUUCACCCCGGCAUCCAAACACACACUCGCUAAGGUCCGUUAACAAGGCAGCGGCUGGAAGGUGCAGGGAAAAACACGGAGGCGUUUGCGAUGAGAGCGGCUCCGAGCGCGGUUUAACUACCCGGGGAACAGGGUUGUGCCUCGAGCACUUGCAAUCGACCAUGCAGCUUAUCGGAGCACUGCGCGAGGCCUCCUCCCGAGCCGCACCCAGGGCCGGGCGGGGGAAACCCGGGAACCGUCGCUCGGGCCUGUGCUUGGAGCCACCGCGCGCUCCUCGGAGCCGGCUGCUCGGCCCGUUCGAGCUGCCUGCUGCCAGCCAGUCGGUGUGCGCUCGGGGGGGCGGGGGGGGUGUCAAGCGGUGCAAUGGGCGGCUCGCCCAGCGGGUUCCCUACCCCGCCAGAAGGACGUGUGCCAAGGGAGCUCUGCCCUCUCCUGCCUGCAAAGGUACAAGAUUCUUCACAGAGGGGUGUGGAGAGUAGCACGCAGCACCCCCGGGACCUGCUCCAGCUCUGCGACACACGCCCCCCCGCCCCUUCCCGGCAUUACUUAAACCCAGACUCUGCACACAGCGGAUUAUGCCUUCUGCGCUCAAAUCCAAGCGCCUCCUGGCUCCGGCUCGCUCCGCCAAUCCUUUCUCCCUCGUGCUCCCUUGGCUGGCUGUGCCUCCUGCGAGAAGCGCUGGGAGAGACGCCAGCAGCGCCCGAGGCGCAGCCCGAGGCAGCAGCAGCUGAGCCCCCGGACAUAUCUGAGGGUGGGUCUAAGGUCUGGUCACAUCAGCCGAGAGACAGGUCGGGGUCAUUCCUCACGGGCGCCCCCCCCCCCCGCCAUUCCUCCCGGAGCGUCCCAGCCGUGCGGACACACCGGGCUGGGAUACACAACUUGCAGAAUGGUCGGGCCGGGAGGACGCCUGCGGCUGGCAGGAAUAGGCUCCCCGGAACCGCGGACAAGCGCGAUCCUACUCCCAUUCAAGCCCCUGGGGCUUUGGCCAUUGACUUGGAUAGGAGCAGGGUCUGUCCCGGAACCUGAGAGACGGAUGGUCUCGGACUCCGGCUCUGACACGGUGUCUCCCCUGCGGAGCCAAUGGCUGAAGCAGCCCUUAUUACCCUGCGGUGGAGACAGUCUCACGCCGUUGUUUGGAUUCAACCUGCGCUGAGAACUGUGAUAAACGGUGCCUCUGGCGGGGCACUCGCUACUUUUUAAACGGCAUUAUCUCGCCUAUAAGAACUGGUUUGUUUUGAAUACAAAGCUGUUUACCGAGCAUUUAUCCAGCCAUUUAUGAUCGCAGGGAGUACAUCUUAGCGGGGAGUAAUCCCCUUACAAAGCCGCAGGUUUAUUUUUACUAGGGGCAAAAAGGGGUCUAAACCCACCUAUACUUGUUUGUUUGUGGGGUGGUGAGUUUUCCCUGGAAUCAAGCCUACGCAGAACAACAGAUUCCCCCCAAGAUUUUACAGAAGAAGUCCCCUCCUGGCUCAAGGCCGUAUGUGGCAAAUUUUAGACUCGAGAGAGGUUUUAUUGCAGAGUAAUUAUCCUCGAUCCCCUUCCUGGUAGAGGUUUAUAAGUGAAAACGCUGCCAGAACGCUAUUUAGUGUAGCGAAGGCGAAACUGCAGUCAAGAGGCUGCUGGGUUUACACGCCCCCUGUUGGAA